GACGAACGCUGGCGGCGUGCUUAACACAUGCAAGUCGAACGGAAAAGCCCUGCUUUCUUGGGGUGUCCGCGUGGCGAACGGGUGAGUUACCUGUGAGUCUCCUGCCUAUGACUUGGGGACAACCUCAGACAACUGGUGCUAAUACCGAAUAGCAGAUCCUGCUGCUUGGUGGGCGUCGGAAAGUUUCCGCGGUAGGGGACGGACUCGGGAUUAAUCAGCUUGUGGGUUGGAGAGUGGCUUACCAAGGCUUCGACAGGUAGCCGGCCUGAGAGGGUGAACAGCCACAUGGGGACUGAGGUACGGCCCAGACUCCUACGGUAGGCAACAGUGGAGAAUAUUGCACAAUGGGCGGGAGCCUGAUGCAGCGACGCCGCGAGCGUGAUGACGGCCUUCGGGUUGUAAACCGCAGUCGCUUAUGACGAAGCGUGAGUGACGGUAAUGGGUAAAGAAGCACCGGCUAACUACGUG
rnacentral:rRNA from 1 species